CAGCAGCCGCGGGAAAACGAAGGGGGCUAGCGUUGCUCGGAAUCACUGGGCGUAAAGGGUGCGUAGGCGGGUCUUUAAGUCAGAGGUGAAAUCCUGGAGCUCAACUCCAGAACUGCCUUUGAUACUGAGGAUCUUGAGUUCGGGAGAGGUGAGUGGAACUGCGAGUGUAGAGGUGAAAUUCGUAGAUAUUCGCAAGAACACCAGUGGCGAAGGCGGCUCACUGGCCCGAUACUGACGCUGAGGCACGAAAGCGUGGGGAGCAAACAGGAUUAGAUACCCGUGUAGUCCCUGUCUCUUAUAC
rnacentral:rRNA from 1 species